rnacentral:rRNA from 1 species
CCUACGGGUGGCAGCAGUGGGGAAUAUUGGGCAAUGGGCGCAAGCCUGACCCAGCAACGCCGCGUGAAGGAAGAAGGCUUUCGGGUUGUAAACUUCUUUUCUGAGGGACGAAGAAAGUGACGGUACCUCAGGAAUAAGCCACGGCUAACUACGUGCCAGCAGCCGCGGUAAUACGUAGGUGGCAAGCGUUAUCCGGAUGUAUUGGGUGUAAAGGGCGUGUAGGCGGGAAAGGAAGUCAGAUGUGAAAACUCAGGGCUCAACCCUGGUCCUGCAGUUGAAACUGUUUUUCGUGAGUGCUGGAGAGGCAAGCGGAAUUCCGGGUGUAGCGGUGAAAUGCGUAGAUAUACGGAGGAACACCAGUGGCGAAGGCGGAUUGCUGGACAGCAACUGACGCUGAGGCGCGAAAGCGUGGGGAGCAAACAGGAUUAGAUACCCUUGUAGUC